rnacentral:rRNA from 1 species
CCUUCGGGAUCUUGAGAGCGGCGCACGGGUGCGUAACGCGUAUGCAACCUACCCUCUACAGGGGAAUAGCCCGUCGAAAGGCGGAUUAAUGCCCCAUGGCUCCUUUGAGAGGCAUCUCUUAAGGGAUAAAGAUUCAUCGGUAGAGGAUGGGCAUGCGUGCCAUUAGCUUGAUGGUGGGGUAACGGCCCACCAUGGCUACGAUGGCUAGGGGUUCUGAGAGGAAGGCCCCCCACACUGGGACUGAGACACGGCCCAGACUCCUACGGGAGGCAGCAGUGAGGAAUAUUGGUCAAUGGGCGGAAGCCUGAACCAGCCAUGCCGCGUGCGGGAAGAAGGCGCUACGCGUCGUAAACCGCUUUUGUCCGGGGGUAACCGCGGGGACGUGUCCCCGCCUGCAAGUACCGGACGAAUAAGGGUCGGCUAACUCCGUGCCAGCAGCCGCGGUAAUACGGAGGACCCGAGCGUUAUCCGGAUUCAUUGGGUUUAAAGGGUGCGUAGGCGGCCCGGUCAGUCAGCGGUGAAAGGCUCCUGCUCCACAGGAGAGCUGCCGUUGAUACUGCUGGGCUAGAAUCUUAGCGAGGCGGGCGGAAUGCGCGGUGUAGCGGUGAAAUGCAUAGAUAUCGCGCAGAACGCCGAUUGGGGAGCCAGCUCGCCAGCUGAGUAUUGACGCUGAGGCACGAAAGCGUGGGGAUCAAACAGGA